rnacentral:rRNA from 1 species
AUUGAACGCUGGCGGCAGGCCUAACACAUGCAAGUCGAGCGGGGUUUUCGGACCUAGCGGCGGACGGGUGAGUAAUGCGUAGGAAGCUGCCCGAUAGAGGGGGAUACCAGUUGGAAACGACUGUUAAUACCGCAUAAUGUCUACGGACCAAAGUGUGGGACCUUCGGGCCACAUGCUAUCGGAUGCGCCUACGUGGGAUUAGCUAGUUGGUGAGGUAAUGGCUCACCAAGGCGACGAUCUCUAGCUGGUUUGAGAGGAUGAUCAGCCACACUGGACCGGAGACACUGUCCAGACUCCUACGGGAGGCAGCAGGGGGGAAUAUUGGACAAUGGGCGCAAGCCUGAUCCAGCCAUGCCGCGUGUGUGAAGAAGGCCUUCGGGUUGUAAAGCACUUUCAGCGAGGAGGAAGGGUGGUGUGUUAAUAGCACAUCAUUUUGACGUUACUCGCAGAAGAAGCACCGGCUAACUCUGUGCCAGCAGCCGCCGUAAAAC